rnacentral:lncRNA from 1 species
CCUAUAGGAAAUCACUCCCACCCCACACCCUUCCGCCCAUGGGGGGGGGGGCGAUGCGGAUUGGGGCCCCCCCAACAUCGCUCUGACCCCCCCCCAAUGUCACCCCGAUCCAUCAGCAGAGAGAGAUGGGGGGUCCCAAUGCCCCCCCCCAAUAGUGGGGACCCCCAUCCUAAAGGAGACCCCAUUGCACGCUCCCAAAGUGGGGGGGGCCAUCCUAUGGGACACCCCAAAAAGUGGGGGGGCUUCACCCUAUAGGACACCCCCAAAACAUGGGGACCCCCAUCCUAUAGGACACCCCCAAAACAUGGGGACCCCCAUCCUAUAGGACACCCCAUUGUGACCCCAAAGGGACACCCCAAUGCACCCCCAUAAAUGAGGACCCCCCACCUAUGGGAUACCCUAUUGUGACCCCAAAGUGCAGGGACCCCCAUCCUAUGGGACACCCCCAAUGCACCCCCAAUUAUGGGCACCUCCACCCUAUGGGACACCCCAUUAUGACCCCAAAAAUCGCCCCUAUCC